rnacentral:rRNA from 1 species
GUAGUCCUAGCUGUAAACGGUGCAUAUUUGCUGUAAAAGGAAUCGACCCCUUUUGUGGCGAAGCUAACGCGAUAAAUAUGCCGCCUGGGAAGUACGGUCGCAAGAUUAAAACUCAAAGAAAUUGACGGGGGCCUGCACAAGCGGUGGAGUAUGUGGCUUAAUUCGAUGCAACGCGAAGAACCUUACCUGGCCUUGACAUGUAUAUAGUAGGAGCCUGAAAGGGCAACGAGGUAGCAAUACCAGUGUACACAGGUGCUGCAUGGCUGUCGUCAGCUCGUGUCGUGAGAUGUUGGGUUAAGUCCCGCAACGAGCGCAACCCUUGUGUCCUGUUGCUAUCCGGACGAGAGUCUGGAGCACUCUGGACAGACUGCCUCGCUUAAACGAGGA